rnacentral:rRNA from 1 species
GACGAACGCUGGCGGCGUGCUUAACACAUGCAAGUCGAGCGGUAAGGCCCUUUCGGGGGUACACGAGCGGCGAACGGGUGAGUAACACGUGGGUGACCUGCCCUUAGCUCUGGGAUAAGCCUGGGAAACUGGGUCUAAUACCGGAUAUGACUCCAUGACGCAUGUUGUGGGGUGGAAAGCCUUGUGCGGCUAGGGAUGGGCCCGCGGCCUAUCAGCUUGUUGGUGGGGUGAUGGCCACCAAGGCGACGACGGGUAGCCGGCCUGAGAGGGCGACCGGCCACACUGGGACUGAGACACGGCCCAGACUCCUACGGGAGGCAGCAGUGGGGAAUCUUGCGCAAUGGCGAAAGCCUGACGCAGCGACG